rnacentral:rRNA from 1 species
UAGGGAAUCUUCCACAAUGGGCGAAAGCCUGAUGGAGCAACGCCGCGUGUGUGAUGAAGGGUUUCGGCUCGUAAAACUCUGUUGUUAAAGAAGAACGUGGGUAAGAGUAACUGUUUACCCAGUGACGGUAUUUAACCAGAAAGCCACGGCUAACUACGUGCCA